CAGCCGCCGCGGUAAUACCAGCACCUCGAGUGGUCAGGAGGUUUAUUGGGCCUAAAGCAUCCGUAGCCGGUUGCAUAAGUUUUCGGUUAAAUCUAUGCGCUUAACGUAUAGGCCGCCUAAAAUACUGUGCAGCUAGGGAGUGGGAGAGGUACACGGUACUCGAUAGGAAGGGGUAAAAUCCUUUGAUCUAUUGAUGACCACCUGUGGCGAAGGCGGUGUACCAGAACACGUUCGACGGUGAGGGAUGAAAGCUGGGGGAGCAAACCGGAUUAGAUACCCCCGUAGUCCCUGUCUCUUAUAC
rnacentral:rRNA from 1 species